GACGAACGCUGGCGGCGUGCCUAAUACAUGCAAGUCGAGCGCAGGAAACUGACGGAACUCUUCGGAGGGAAGGCAGUGGAAUGAGCGGCGGACGGGUGAGUAACACGUAAGGAACCUGCCUCAAGGAUUGGGAUAACUCCGAGAAAUCGGAGCUAAUACCGGAUAGUUCAACGGACCGCAUGGUCCGCUGAUGAAAGGCGCUCCGGCGUCACCUUGAGAUGGCCUUGCGGUGCAUUAGCUAGUUGGUGGGGUAACGGCCCACCAAGGCGACGAGGCGUAGCCGGCCUGAGAGGGUGAUCGGCCACACUGGGACGGGGACGCGGCCCGGGCUCCUACGGGAGGCAGCAGUAGGGAAUGUUCCGCGAUGGACGGAAGUCUGAUGGAGCAACGCGGCGUGAGUGAUGAAGGUUUUCGGAUCGUAAAACUCUGUUGUAAGGGAAGAACACGUACGAGAGGAAAUGCUCGUACCUUGACGGUACCUUACGAGAAAGCCACGGCUAACUACGUGCCAGCCGCCGCCGUAA
rnacentral:rRNA from 1 species